rnacentral:other from 4 species
GUUCUACUGCGACGUUGGUGACUGCCAAAAAUGUUUUUUUGACCUACAAAUCAAAAAACAUCGGGACCUAGAUGUUUGAGUGGCAGUAAACUGAGCUUGUACUCAGAAACUUUAAACUUGAGCCAAGGAACCCACCUGGUAUUAUCCAGGUCAAAAGCUGAGGUAAGACGGCGUUGCGGUGAACUA